UACAGAGGGUGCGAGCGUUAAUCGGAAUUACUGGGCGUAAAGCGCACGUAGGUGGCGACGUAAGUCGGGUGUGAAAGCCCCGGGCUCAACCUGGGAAUUGCAUUCGAGACUGCAUUGCUGGAGUACGGAAGAGGAAGGCGGAAUUCCCGGUGUAGCGGUGAAAUGCGUAGAUAUCGGGAGGAACAUCAGUGGCGAAGGCGGCCUUCUGGUCCAGUACUGACACUCAAGUGCGAAAGCGUGGGGAGCAAACAGG
rnacentral:rRNA from 1 species